UCUGGGAGGUCUGAUGUUAGGGAAAAAGAAGGAGGAAAGCAAGAUUAAAAAUCAUUCCUGGAAAUGCAAGAGAAAAUGUGCUGGAGUGGGUGCUGUUAGUACCAGGGACACUGGACAAGAAAGAUAAGCAAGCCACUGCUGUCUGAUUCCUACAUAGCAGAAGUGUGGAGAGAAGCUACAUAUGGUGGAGAUGACCCUCUGCUCUUCUGAAGGCCUUUGGGGUCUGAUACAAACCCCUGUGUCCCAAUUAUAAAUUCUCCUUUUCUUCUUUACCUAGGUUAAAGUGUUGGAUUCAUAAUUCUCACUUCAGGAAGACUGAAAACCAGACUUUAUUCUGCUAGAUCCCAAGAUAUCAAGGAAGAGGAAAAGGGAAGAGCCCCAGGCACUAUUAAACCACAGCUACAAUCACUGCCAUUUGAAACUUCCCACCAAACAACUUUACUAUUCUGAUUUAAUUUCAACUCCCAGGGAGAGUUAGUAUUAAGAGGAAGUACCUAUCAUCCAUGAUAAUCCACCAGCUCUGGGGGUUUAGAAGGGAAAGGAUGGAGGUCUCAGUGCUUGAGGCUAGGCUGACAGCUGAGCAGGGCUCCAGCUCACCUUAAUCUCACUCCUGUGGAUGCCUGCACUAGGGGCCUGAGCAUUCUCCCAGAUCUCUGCAUAGGAGGCUGCCCUUAGGCAUUAUUAAGGUGUGAAAGCAGCAAGAAAGAGCAGAAUUAAACUGCUUUUCUCUAAUGUAUCCUUUUACAGCCCAGUGUAUUUUGCCCUAGGCUAGCCUUUUCUUCUCCUUUCACCCUCCACAUGCCAGUCCGAGACAGCCUUUCUUCUCACAGGAAUUAUUGUAUUAUUUCUUAAAUUCUUUUUUUCUUCUCCAUGGCUUUUCUAGAGGAAACCUAACAGUGUGGGUUUAUCAAUCAUUUUGACAAGACUCUGAAUUCCACUGAACAGAUUUUUGAAUAAA
rnacentral:lncRNA from 10 species